GGACUCUACAAAUCCAUGCUGGGCUACAAUUCCUGCCCCUUGCUCACGCAUCACUGCGUUUCUUAAGAUUACUGGUUGAGAAUCGGGCAAUAGCUUCUUUCCAAACAAUACAGGACUAUUCUUCAGAAACCCAUCUCUUAUGCAAGACGGGGGAAGUUCUUUCAUUAAUAAGACUCAGCUCAUUGUUCCUGGAACACUCGAAGAUCAGUUCUGCUGAGCAAAUGACAUCUUGAAAAACCUGGCUUUGCUUGCUCUCAUGACUACAGCAGGAACUGCAAGUUAAACAUUCUGCGAAUUAGCGUUAAGUGCAAAACCAUAGAAGCAAAAUGUUCUUGUUCAUUGUUUGGUUGUUGCUUAGCUUUAACUGAUUAGUAUACUUUGUUGUAUCCUUUUAAAUUCAAAACUAAUUCACAAA